rnacentral:misc_RNA from 1 species
GAUGAAGAACGCAGCGAAAUGCGAUACGUAGUGUGAAUUGCAGAAUUCAGUGAAUCAUCGAAUCUUCGAACGCACAUUGCACCUCUCGGUAUUCCGGGAGGUAUGCCUGUUCGAGCGUCAUUUGUACCCUCAAGCUCUGCUUGGUGUUGGGUGUUUGUUCCGCCUCUGUGUGUGAACUCGCCUCAAAACAAUUGGCAGCCGGCGUACUUGUUUCGGAGCGCAGCACAUUUUGCGAUCCAGAUCAACGUACAGCGGCAUCCAAGAAGCCUUAUUUAACGCUCUUGACCUCGGAUCAGGUAGGGAUACCCGCUGAACUUAAGCAUAUCAAUAAGCGGAGGA